UCCACAGUCAUCGAGGGAUUGCCCAACGUUACAUAUUUCACAUGAACUCCUUCGCCUACAGCCUUGGACGAGAAUAGAUCAGUGUUGCAGAGCAGGUUGGUAAAACAAGGAACAAAUGCACACACCUCCACAUGUUGGUGAAAAAAGCAUGCCCACACGCACCACACCUGACAUGAGCAUGAUGUAGCGCGAGGCGAGUCCUGUGUUCAUGCUAACUAUUCACGAGGCGUAUGCUAACUAUUCACGAGGCGUAUCAGAGAGAUCAUCUCAAAGGAUAUAGAGAAAUGUUAUGUUUGCCUCAUACAAUGCACGCUGCACAAUAAUAGUUUUACCGUUCGACUAGUAAAUAUUUACCGUCAACGAGGUUAGACAGAAGUUGAUUAUUCAAUAGUAAAAAAAAAAAAAAAAUAUUUCUGUGAAUAGUAGAUGUAGUUUAUCAGUUUUAUUUUACUUUAAACCAAGAUACUAAGAGAAAAAAACAACAACUCACCGAUAAAUCUAAAACUAAACUUCCUCAAAAUGAAUAAACAAGGAAGGGAUUAAAAUAUAUGACAGCGCGGAGUAUACGUUCUAAAGAAUUACAAAUAAUUCAACCACUUUUGUUCUAAACCUGCCAGGGCACACCAGACCCAGCAGGCGAGGCACCAGAUGACCUGCCUCGCCAAGCCGCCACACCAGACCCAGCAGGCGAGGCACCGGAUGACCUGCCUGGCCAAGCAUCUACAACAUACGGCCGAGAACUGCCGGAGUUUAGCCAUUUUGUUUCUAUGAGCCGUACUAUCCGUGACGGUUAAGAGCUUCACCGCCUCCUCUACCACAAUCUUCUCAGCGUUGUUCGGUAAAUAAGCACAUAAGGAAACAUAUGAGCAAGGUAUCUCAAGUAGUCUGGACUUGGCACCAACAAUGACAUCACGCACAUCUGUGACGUCACACAGAGCCUCGGUGUUCACUGGUCUGCACGAGAUAAAGACAAUAAGCGAAUGGCUCUACAUUUCCUCGUGAUUCUUAGAUUACUGUUUUUCUUUGCUGGUUUUACUUUCGUUAAAUGGUUAGAUGUAUAACUGUCAUAUUGUAUUUCGUGGUGGCCAAGUCCAGACGGAGAGAAGUGGAAGUGGGCCCCAUUUCUAAUGAUUUAAGGCGGGAAUAUGGAAACUUCAACCUAAAAAAUUUGUUCACUGUAAAAACUGAUAAAAAAUGUUUUUGUGUUCAUCGGAUCCUGAGUUUAAAGUACAAGUACAAAUAAGAUUACUAAGACAUGCCCUUUGUGUUAUAGGACGUGUCUAAGGAAGCAGUUUUAUACCCGUUUUGUCAUUUGUCCAUCUAAAAACAUGAUGUAAGGAAAUACAUAACGAACAGGUUCUGUAAUGUAGACUGAAAAUGUGUCUGAUUUUGUGAUCAAGAAUGUUCUGUCUAUUUAUGUAUCAGUGUCAACACUUCAUCCUUAAGCUUUUAGAAUUAUUUAACUGUUCGAAUUAUUAUUAUUAUGUUCUAAAGGUUUAACUUUUCCAGGGAGCUCAAUUUUUCAUUUUUAGAGUUUGAUUUUUAAGCAUUUUAGUGUUUUCCUUUAUUAUUCUAGGUUUGAUGUUUAAUACCUUUUUAAUUUACUUUUAAGUUUUAGUGUUUUAUUGUCGCGUUUUUCAUGUCCAUGUUUUGUUUAGUUUUAUUUUAUUUUGGACCUGGACCAUAAUGAUAAUGAUUUCCCAUAUGUGGUUAUUGUGGUCAAUAAACUAUCUAUUUAUC